rnacentral:rRNA from 1 species
AACGAACGCUGGCGGCAUGCCUAACACAUGCAAGUCGAACGAGACCUUCGGGUCUAGUGGCGCACGGGUGCGUAACGCGUGGGAACCUGCCCUUAGGUUCGGAAUAACUCCCCGAAAGGGGUGCUAAUACCGGAUAAUGUCUUCGGACCAAAGAUUUAUCGCCUUUGGAUGGGCCCGCGUUGGAUUAGCUAGUUGGUAGGGUAAAAGCCUACCAAGGCGACGAUCCAUAGCUGGUCUGAGAGGAUGAUCAGCCACACUGGGACUGAGACACGGCCCAGACUCCUACGGGAGGCAGCAGGGGGGAAUAUUGGAAAAGGGGGGAAAGCCUGAUCCAGCAAUGCCGCGUGAGUGAUGAAGGCCUUAGGGUUUUAAAGCUCUUUUACCCGGGAUGAUAAUGACAGUACCGGGAGAAUAAGCUCCGGCUAACUCC